rnacentral:lncRNA from 1 species
GGUCCUUUGAAUCGGAGUGCUCUUUUCCGAAUGCAGCAUCCCUACACUCUGCGACAUCAAAACCGCAGUGGCUCCGUCUCACGAAGAGUAAUUCCCUCUCUUUGACACUGCUUGUCUGCUGACACUGUCUACUAGUCACCUGGAUCUCCGUAAGAUGCCCACAGACGUGCUUGCCCACCAGCACGGGCACUUUGCAUUUGAGGAUAUUUUUGCCGACAGCCUCUUUCUCUCAGCCCAGCUUUGCUGGCCUCUGUGAUUCUUGCUUGCCCUAACUGGGACGUAGCAGACCUUCUCACACUGGGCCUGGGCAGUUCCCAAAUCACAACUGAAGACCACGAAGGAAGAAGAUGGCUGACUGAGUGCAUCAUUCUGUUCUACGGCCUGCAGUAGUCAUGGCGACACAGAACACAAUUCUGAAAGGCCUCAGCUUCUAGGUACAUCCAAGUGCCCUUCUUAGGGGCUCCUGAUGUUGUAAGGUAACUGGUUUAACUCCUUCCUCUCUCUGGAUUUGGAUGGUUGAGGGACUUUCUGCAGCACAACUGACCUUUAGCUGCCUUUUGGCCAGCAACGUGCUGCUCAGACUCUGUAUGGGAAAAACACCUGCCCUGUGAUUAAUUGUGUCUUCCCCAGCUCAAAUCUCAGACUAGCCUGAAAAGUUCCACUUGGGUUUAUCACCCACAAUUUUCUCUCUUAGCUGGAAAGUGCAGAAUAUCAUCGCAAAAGCCAUGUAUGAGAGUCUGCCAACACAUGAUAUGAAAAAUGCAAAUAAAAACGAGAUCUAGAUGGGG